rfam:Medicago truncatula strain A17 chromosome 6, whole genome shotgun sequence.
GAGAGGUCCCUGCCCUCAGCCGUUUAGCUAUUUAAACGUCAUCCCAUCAGACGGUUAAACCAUUCUGAAAUUCUUCUGGUGCUAAACGGAAUGAGGGUAGUCAUCCCUCUCAU